UUUACUAUAGUGAGUGUUUCUGUACAUGCACAAUCUACACAAAAGAGCAAGGUAGAAUACAUAUUUUUCUACAGACGUUGAUAUUCUCAAACUGUAAUGUGUCGCUGUUGCCCAGAGCCAUGUAGAAGUACCAGCUGUGAGAUGAGAAACCAACAUUACCUUUGGGAGAAGGACAUCUGGAGGAAGCACAUCUUUAACGUUUGCAUUUCUCUCUGGAUGGGGCAUGGCAUGACCAUCGAGAGGACUCGUCAGGGUUCGUGGCCGGCCUCAGUCAGCGGGGCAGGAUUGCACUUCCAGAGACUUCACGGAUGCGAUGCAGUUGCCAAGGCAACCUCACCAGGCAGCCGAGUGUGAGAAAAAGUGAAGGAGACUGACUUUACUCUUACACAGAAACACAAAUAUUCCGAUGAGGGUUAUUUGAAGACAUCGCCUCGCUUCAUGUACUGAAGUUAUUCAAUUAUCCCUCUGUGGGUAUAUAUACUAGAUUUGCACAUUUCCUGAACAAAAUGUCCAUUAGCGGUUUAUUCAACUCCCUAAUACUAAGUAUGAACACAAGUAAUAGUGUUGCUUGCCUUAGCAAACACAGCAAACCACAACCUGUCUUUUGUUCUUAGGAUGGUGCCAUUGCAGUGCCAUGUGAAUUACACACUAACAGCACUUAAUUGCAGUGUAGCAUGUGAUGCCAUCAAUGGCUUUUGGAAACAUUGGUAUUAAUGUUGAGUCCUAGUCUGACAUCCUGCGAUAGGCAUUCAAAAUGAUGGGGCGCGAGCGAGUCGACUCCCAACAUGUAAUCAGCUAUGUCUCUCUGCAGACAAGAGUCAGCAUUCAUACUGCAGCUUUUGCUCUCCGAGGGAAACUACAAAAGCGCUUAUUCAUUUAGCAAUGUAACAAGUGACUAUCUAUAUAAUUGGGUCAUUGAAUCAUUCAUUCAACUGAUUCUUUCAAAAGUGCUGAUUCAUUUAGCAACGCAACACGUGACUAUCUUUAUCAGUGGAUCAUUGAAUCAUUCACUCAACUGAUUUAUUUAAAAACACUGAUUCAUUUAGCAAUGAAACAAGUGACUAUCUUUAUGAGUGAGUCAUUGAAUCUUUCACUCAACUGAAUCAUUCAAAGGUGCUGAUUCAUUUAACAAAGCAACAAGUGACUAUCUUUAUGAGUGGAUAAUUGAAUUAUUCACUCAACUGAUUCAUUCAAAAUCGCUAAUUCAUUUAGCAAUGAAACCAGUGACUAUCUUUAUAAUUGGGUCAUUGAAUCUUUCACUCAACUGAAUCAUUCAAAGGUGCUGAUUCAUUUAACAAAGCAACAAGUGACUAUCUUUAUUAGUGGAUAAUUGAAUUAUUCACUCAAUUGAUUCAUUCAAAAUCGCUAAUUCAUUUAGCAAUGAAACCAGUGACUAUCUUUAUAAUUGGGUCACUGAAUCAUUCAUUCAACUGAUUCUUUUAAAAGUGCUGAUUCAUUUAGCAACGCAGCACAUGACUAUCUUUAUCAGUGGAUCAUUGAAUCAUUCACUCAACUGAUUUAUUCAAAAACACUGAUUCAUUUAGCAAUGAAACAAGUGACAUUCUUUAUGAGUGAGUCAUUGAAUCUUUCACUCAACUGAAUCAUUCAAAGGUGCUGAUUCAUUUAACAAAGCAACAAGUGACUAUCUUUAUGAGUGGAUAAUUUAAUUAUUCACUCAACUGAUUCAUUCAAAAUCGCUAAUUCAUUUAGCAAUGAAACCAGUGACUAUCUUUAUAAUUGGGUCAUUGAAUCAUUCAUUCAACUGAUUCUUUCAAAAGUGCUGAUUCAUUUAGCAACGCAGCACGUAACUAUCUUUAUCAGUGGAUUAUUGAAUCAUUCACUCAACUGAUUUAUUCAAAAACACUGAUUCAUUUAGCAAUGAAACAAGUGACAUUCUUUAUGAGUGAGUCAUUGAAUCUUUCACUCAACUGAAUCAUUCAAAGGUGCUGAUUCAUUUAACAAAGCAACAAGUGACUAUCUUUAUGAGUGGAUAAUUUAAUUAUUCACUCAACUGAUUCAUUCAAAAUCGCUAAUUCAUUUAGCAAUGAAACCAGUGACUAUCUUUAUAAUUGGGUCAUUGAAUCAUUCAUUCAACUGAUUCUUUCAAAAGUGCUGAUUCAUUUAGCAACGCAGCACGUAACUAUCUUUAUCAGUGGAUUAUUGAAUCAUUCACUCAACUGAUUUAUUCAAAAACACUGAUUCAUUUAGCAAUGAAACAAGUGACAUUCUUUAUGAGUGAGUCAUUGAAUCUUUCACUCAACUGAAUCAUUCAAAGGUGCUGAUUCAUUUAACAAAGCAACAAGUGACUAUCUUUAUGAGUGGAUAAUUUAAUUAUUCACUCAACUGAUUCAUUCAAAAUCGCUAAUUCAUUUAGCAAUGAAACCAGUGACUAUCUUUAUAAUUGGGUCAUUGAAUCAUUCAUUCAACUGAUUUAUUCAAAAACACUGAUUCAUUUAGCAACGCAACACUUUGACUAUCUUUAUCAGUGGAUCAUUGAAUCAUUCACUCAACUGAUUUAUUCAAAAACACUGACUCAUUUAGCAAUGAAACAAGUGACUAUCUUUAUGAGUGGGUCAUUGAAUCAUUCAUUCAAUUGAUUUCUUUAAAAAGCUCUGAUUUAUUAUGAAACAAGUGACUGUCUUUAUAAGCUUGUCAAAUGAUUACUCAAAAUGAUGGGACGCAAGCGAGUCGACUCUCAACGUGUAAUCAGCUACAUGUCAUAUAGAUCUCACCUUAUUGAUGAACAGGAAUUGUAGUUUGCAAAAAAGGUAAAGCUGCAAAUUCCUCCAUUAACGUCAGCUGCCUUUGUAAUAAUCCUCUGAUACAUGCAAGUGAAAAUCGCUGCACGGCAUAAAUGAUCAAUAUAUUAGGCAGUAUCUUAGCGAAAGUGUAUUUCUUUCUGUUUUCUUCCAUUCAAAAAGUUGCAUCGUGUAUGACGUAAGCGUGCUCUGGCCCGGAACGUUGAGGUCAAUGUGAGUGCGGGCCAGGGGGAGUUUGGGAGGGGGGACAAUCGCGCUCUGGCUUGGUGCAAUGCAACCGUGCCUAGUAUGAGUACACCCUGAAUGGGGCACAUCGCAAGGCUUCAUUGAGGCUGAGUUGGCACUAGCACCAGUUGUGCGGGGAGCUUUAGCACUGUACUUUCAGCUAAUCUGUUGUUGGCUGUGAUUUUUUCCUGUAAGCACGUGAAGUUGCAUGCUGGGUGAGAACGUGGCCCUAUGGGAGAAUUUCAUUCAACUUUGUUCACAAUGGAUGGUUUCACCAAUUUUCUGUCAAUAAAUAAACAAUUAGAUGUUAAACUUAGCAUGCUUUCUAGCCAUUAUGUGUCAUCAAAUUCCCAGAAUACCCUUCACUAAGCCCAGCCCCCAUUGGUUACUGUUGCUAACUCAGACAAGUUACACAAAACAUCCCAAAGAAAUUAACUAUUUCCAUAAAUAACAUGAUAUUCAUCAGUAAAAUAUUUUCAUAAAAUGGUGAAAAGUGGUUGAAUAUUAUUCUAACGUAAGUUUGGCAUAUGUAAAACAUUUUAUUUAUUGCUUUGCUAACACACUUUUAUGGCAAUUUGUGCAAAGUAUUUUAAGUUUUGGCAAAUUGGUGGCUCAUUCAUCUGUGGAUCUUCAUGCUUAUGCUUUUUCUGCAAAAAGGUAUGUUUUUCCCUACGAAUCGUAUGCAUGAAUUUAUUCAAAAUCACCAACUCGUAAAAUACGUACGUUUUCUCAUGAGAUCAGGUUGGUUUUCUUUAAAAGAAAUGGCUAAAUGAGGCAGUAAACUGUUUUAAACUGUAGAGACUGUGAAUCACAAUGGAGCCAAACACAUCUUAUAGUCAAUAGAGUACAAAAGGGUUUGGAAAAUGGAAUAAAAAAGACAAGACUGUGACUAAUGGCCUCAACAUAAGCAUAUAGCGUGAAUUAAAAACCUCAUAUCUCACAGUAGGUGUCUUUAAUGGUUCCAGAAGGUUUGAUUGCUCAGUAACCAUUUUAGGGCGGGGCUUAGCAGGUCGCCCUCAACUGAGCACAAGGCUGCAUGUUUUUGGCUUCAAUGAGAUGCAGCACUGCCAAGCAUAUGUUCAACACCAGCGUCCUCACACUUGAAACACAGGCACACGCUGGUAUGCAUCAGACUGGAAGAGCUGGCAACAUCAACAAACAGCUAGAAGCAAUUGUUAUUCAGGGAGUUUCCAAGGAAACACACUGGCAACAUCUUUCCUUUGUUGGCAUCAGGAGAUGCUAAACCUGCCCAUGGCUGUCAUUAGCAGCUUCUGAAGAGACUUCACUGCAGGUUUUCAUUUAUACACCUUGUAUGAAAAUUAUUUUUCCACCCUCUAUGCUAGUUUAUACUGUGUGACAGUGGAGAUUUUGCUAUAGCACUUAUACCGAGGUAGAUAUAUUUGGUCACACCUCAGGUAAACACUAAUCAUACUCUUCUGCUCAGCUACUCUGACGUCUCAGCAUUUCGUUUCUACGGUAUAAAGCAGUGAUAUGAGGCGACGUGUUUGUUUUCCAUCCCUGUCUCCCGGUGUAAGUGUGUCGACUAUGAGCGCUAUACUUUUUUUUAGUCCAGGAUGUUCUGCUCCAGUUCCCAGAACAAAUCAAAAGCUCUUUGUGAAUGUAGGAGGUUGUAGCUGAAUAUACCCUCAUCUCUAGUCCCUUGUAUUUGGGUGUCUAUUAUUUUAAUGCUGUUUCUAUGGCCCUGAAAAA